UGGGCGUAAAGAGAAUGUAGGCGGGUGAAUAAGUUGGAAGUGAAAUCCUAUGGCUUAACCAUAGAACUGCUUCCAAAACUGUUCACCUAGAAUAUGGGAGAGGUAGAUGGAAUUUCUGGUGUAGGGGUAAAAUCCGUAGAGAUCAGAAGGAAUACCGAUUGCGAAGGCGAUCUACUGGAACAUUAUUGACGCUGAGAUUCGAAAGCGUGGGGAGCAAACAGGAUUAGAUACCCUGGUAGUCCACGCCCUAAACGAUGUACACUAGUUGUUGCUAUACUAGAUAUAGCAGUAAUGCAGUUAACACAUUAAGUGUACCGCCUGGGGAGUACGGUCGCAAGAUUAAAACUCAAAGGAAUAGACGGGGACCCGCACAAGCGGUGGAGCAUGUGGUUUAAUUCGACGAUACGCGAAGAACCUUACCUAGGCUUGACAUUUAUAGAACUUACCAGAGAUGGUUUGGUGCCGGCUUGCCGGAACUAUAGGACAGGUGCUGCACGGCUGUCGUCAGCUCGUGUCGUGAGAUGUUGGGUUAAGUCCCGCAACGAGCGCAACCCACGUGAUUAGUUGCUAACAGUUCGGCUGAGAACUCUAAUCAGACUGCCUUCGUAAGGAGGAGGAAGGUGUGGACGACGUCAAGUCAUCAUGGCCCUUACGCCUAGGGCUACACACGUGCUACAAUGGGACAUACAAAGAGCAGCAAUACCGCGAGGUGGAGCAAAUCUUGAAAAUGUCUCCCAGUUCGGAUAGUACUCUGCAACUCGAGUGCUUGAAGUUGGAAUCGCUAGUAAUCGUAGAUCAGCAAUGCUACGGUGAAUACGUUCCCGGGUCUUGUACUCACCGCCCGUCACACC
rnacentral:rRNA from 1 species